rnacentral:rRNA from 1 species
GGSWUAUUGAUUAUAAUUUUAGGUYUGACCUGCCCAMUGAGGAGUUAAAUGGCCGCGGUAUACUAACCGUGCAAAGGUAGCAUAAUCAUUAGUUUUUUAAUUGAAAGCUUGAAUGAAAGGUUUGAUGAAAAAAGUUCUGUCUCUACAAGAAUUUGUUAGAAUUUUAUUUUUAAGUUAAAAAGCUUAAAUUUAUAUAGAAGACGAGAAGACCCUAUAGAGUUUUAUAUUUAUAUAUUUAAUAAGUCUUUAGGUAUUUUUGGUUUGUUUUUUGUGUAAUUAUUUUGUUGGGGUGAUAGAAAAAUUAAUUAAACUUUUUUUUAAUAAAUACAUUGAUUUAUGAAUAAUUGAUCCUUAAAUUUAGAUUAUAAGAUUAAAUUACCUUAGGGAUAACAGCGUAAUUUUUUUUAGAGUUCUUAUCGAAAAAAAAGAUUGCGACCUCGAUGUUGGAUUAAAAUUAAUUGUUGGUGUAGAAGCUAAUAAUAUUAGGUCUGUUCGACCUUUAAAAUUUUACAUGAUCUGAGUUUAGACCGG